ensembl:lncRNA
CAGAGUGGGGCUGAUGCUGAGGUGUGAUAGGUCCCUGUCAUGGCCUGUGCAUUUGGGCGCACGCGCGUAGGCACGCGCACAGCUUGUGCGGUUGAUGGAGAUGGAUGCCCUGUGCAUUUGAGCAUUCAGAGAGAGUGAGUGUGUGUGACAGACAGUCAAUCAGCCUGUGAUGAGAGGUAAUCGCACAGUGGACAGAUCAAUUAGUUAUUUUCUCAGGAGGCAAACAGAAGAAAAACACCACUGUUCUCCAGUACCUCUCCACUCUGAAUUUGGCUGUUUGGAUGUUUAUCUCUGCUCAUUUCUCCUCCUGCCCCUCUCAUAGGGAGGGAGGUGGAGAUCCAGCUGAUCAAGGCUGAGUAAUGGUGUAUGAGCUCAGCCCUGUGAGCGAUGAGAGCUCCACUUGGCUGGAUCAUUUAUACCGGGCCUUGCAGAGAACAAACAUGUAUCUCAAAGCCAUCAGAGACACUCCAAGGCUGGACUAAGUGUGAUUACAGACAACUAAACUGCAAGAACAAGCUUUGACUACCUGAAGUGCAAAACUCAACUUUUCUCCUGCUUCACUUUUUUGAUGAGAGCGAGCUUGAAACAUGUGACGUUACAUGGAUGAAAACUCAUGCACUUAAAAAGCUCAGUUUUCUUAUGUUCUCUUGUUUUUUGGCUGCUCAUUCAGCCAGUGUCAGCUCACAUCAGCAGCUUGAAUUGUUGGAUUUAGAAUUGCUGCAUGUAGGUCAUGUCUUGUUUUGUUUUUUGGGGUUUUUUUGUGUGUUUACUAGCUGUAGCAGCGGACAUUCCCUGAGGUUGCAGAAAUGUGGUACAGUCUCAGAUCUUGCUGGAGAUCGCUCCGUCCUUCACACCCACUUAGAGUCAGAUUCAGUCAGUCCUUGUCAGAGUAAUUUUAUGCAACAUUUUUUAUUUACUGGGGUACCGCUCUGCUGAGUAUCACAAAAAACAAAGUUAAAAACAUAAACUUUUUUGUUUAGAAAGUGAUGCAACCACUGCUGCCCUUCUCUUUGUGUCCAUGCUCACAUUAAAACCUUGUUGUAUGCACAUAUUCAUACAUACAUACAGCCAAUAGCUUUUCACGAGUACAAAGAAAACUGUUCUGUCUCAUUUCACAG